rnacentral:tRNA from 1 species
GCCCGGGUGGCGGAACAGGCAGACGCGUCGGUCUCAAAAACCGAUGAUUGAAAGAUCGUGAGGGUUCGAGUCCCUCCCCGGGCACCA